CGGGAUUAUAUCUCGGUCAGUCGCUUUCAUCGCGUUUCUACAAGACGAAUUGAGACGUUAGUCAUGUCUGUUGAAAGGGCGGUGAGAAAGGUGAUGGCGUACGGGACCUGUUCAUCUUUUUACUGGGAUUCUUUCGUUCGAACGGGACUGGGAAGAAUCUUUCGUCCCAAUGGGAUUUUCAUGUUUUUCGUCUUCGGUUGAGACGUUGAACUUUCUGAAUGCAAUACAUACACAUUUCGCUCACUUUUACACAGUCUGCAAAGUCUAGUCGUUUUCAGAAACGACGUAGAACUCCUAUGAACCCAAGACAAGUUUGCCUUGGUAAAAUUUUGACGUUAGACGUUAUCUACUAAACCUAAAAAUUGCCUGCGCUGUUAUGGAAACCACUUAAAAUGCUUUUGAGAGUCAGAAAAGCAAAUCAAAGUUUGACGGCCCUGUCAACCAGACCGUACUCGCGCAUCUCGACGGGUAGAUUCGACGCUUUCAUGUUCACGUCUUACGUCUGCCGAUGCUGAAAAUGAAAUGACACUACUUUUCACAAUAGAAGCAACCCAUUCAGUACUUUGAAACAGCUCUAGAUCGGUCGGAAAUGUCGAAAUCCCGUUCAGACGAAUUCGUUCGAAUGGGAUUUUGCUAUCUAGCGUGAUCUUUUGCGCGUAAAACACGACAAAACGUUAGACGCUAAACGUAUCAAAUCACGGCAUUGCUUUCACGAUGGCCAUUGAAGCUUCUUGACGUCAAGAAACGCAAGGUAAGAUUCGGUUGUCCUUGUUGACCAGACCGCACUCGCGCCUUUUGACGACUCAUUUGCCAUUUCAUGUUCACGUCUUACGUCUGCCGAUGCUGAAAAUGCAAUGGCACUACUUUUCACAAUAGAAGCAACUCAUUCAGUACUUUGAAACAGCUCUGGAUAGGUUGGAAAUGUCGAAAUCCCAUUCAGACGAAUUCGUUCGAAUGGGAUUUUGCUAUGUAGCGUGACCUUUUGCGCGCAAAACACGACAAAACGUUAGACGAUAAACGUAUAAAAUCACGAAAUUGCUGUCACGAUGGCCAUUGAAAGUUGUGGACGUCAGGAAAAAUCAAAGAGAGUUUUUCCUGUCCUUGUCGAACAGACCGUACUCGCGCCCUAUGUCGACCAUUCAGUAUCAGGGAGACUGAGUGCUCAGUGGUAUACUACGUACGAAGAAUAAAGACUCACUUAACCUACAUAGCUAAAGAGUGAAUGAAACAAGUAUAAAAACACUUUGAGAAAAUGAUUUGUGUUGAUUUUUUAGCUAAAUGUUUCAUUAUGAGCUUCUUGCCAUUCCAGUUUACUUAACCAAUCAUUGGAUAGAAGUUAUUAUAGAUAUAUUUCAUUAAGCCUUUCUUGUCUUUGACUCGCUUGGAAAGAAGCACGAACAAGUUGUUUUUGACUUGAAACUGUGGAUUACGGAUGUGUACCGUUUAGUCAAUGGAUCGACUCUAGAUGUAACCGACUCGUCGUUGAUAUACCCAAUACCUCAAAAUUACCCGCAACAAACCGAUCCAUUUAAUUGUGGAAUAUGGACUUGUGUGAACAUGCUUUCAGCAGCUGUGGACAAUCCUCGUGUAGCCAGCAACAUCAAUCCCAAUGACAUGAGGACGUGGAUAUUGCAUCGAAUUGUUCUUACAGGGGCCGUUGAAAGAGAGAACAGAUACACACUGUAUCUAUUUGGACAUAUGGUUAUCACUAAUCUGCUUAUGCAAGGUAUCGUUCAAGCCAGGAAAAGUACCCUUUUCUGUUGAAGGCACAACAGAUCCCGACAGAUCAAGCAGCUAUUCUCCGAAGAAAGUCAAAGAAAGGAAACUGAUAAAACGUGAUUAUAAUACUAGAUCGUCUGCAAAACGGAAAAGAACAGGUAAAUUUUUGCUGUGCAUAAUAUUCUAAGCAUGCCUACCCAAUUCGUCUCUAAACAUUACGCAGCAAUCUCGCAUAUAUGUAUAUUAAUGUCGAAUUUUUUGUAUUCACGGUCUUUUUCAUUUCAUACUCAAAAUAAACAAUUCGAGUGAUGAAUUGAAUCAACUGAAGUCAUCGAAUGUACGUACUGUUGAUGAAAUAGACGGGACAUUGUAAUACCUGGAACAGAACGGGUAUAUUAGAGCAUUGCUGAAAGCAUGUCCUGUCCGGAGCUCCCGAAAAUCUGGAAGAUCGCUCAGUUUUCACGACAUGGGAAAGAAAUCCAAGAAGCAGAACACCUCCUGGUAGGAGCCAAGUUUCCAAAGGCUAUUCAAACUAUAAAAGUCAAAAUUUUUCUGAAAACUUGGUAUUUCCAAAACGAAGUGCAGCCGUGCAAGAGCCAUGAAAUCGAUGACUUUAUGCAGUGGAUGGGAGAAACAGGGGACUGGAGAUACGAGAACAAAUCCAUGCACGCUAUUUACCACUUAGCUUAUCAUCAUCGCCGUAGAUGGGUUACUGACGAAUUUGAUAAAAAAUUGAAUAAAGAAAAAAUAAGUAUUUUAUGCUUAGACGGUUUCAGAUAAGUGAAACGUGCUGUUUUAAAAUUUUUAAAUUAAUUUCAGUUUUAUCUCUAGAUAAGAAAGAAUAGCAAAUAUAUUUACAUCAUUUCAUAUUUCUCU